GGCACUGCAAGACACCAGGCAGCUGGCCAGGCUGUGGCGCUGAGCAUGGGGAAACUGAGGCCACACUGGCCAGCCAGGCAUGCCGUGGGCAUGUACUGUGCACUCAACCCCACUAGGACAUGCGUGUGUGCACUCAGGCCUAUUCCCCCACCCCAGGUACCCUCCAUGGCAGCUGUGCCAGCACUCAUGUCCCCUCAGGGAUCAGGACUCUGUGCUGCCCCCCCGGGAGCCCCAACACCAAAGAGGGUGGUAACUUCCAGGAGGCUUGCUGUAAGGAGUCAUGUUGGAGACCUGGGGGUGGGGGAUGGCAGGUGCUGGGAGCCACAACUGCCCAGAUGUGCUGUGGGGACCUCCCUGACUCAAAAUCCAGUGAGGGGUGUGGAGGGUGGGCAGGCGUUCCCAUCAGAGGUGUCCUCAAUCCUGGGAGUAAGCUGCACGUGCCGUGGGCACACUCCCAGCCACCGUCUUACACAUUCCUGGAUUUCUGCCCAGGCCUAAGGGAAGGAGGCGGGUCCUCCUGAGACUCAGUCCCCAAAAAGAGAAUCCAAAGGAAACCCAGAGGCAAGGCACUGCUGCCCACACAGGCCCAGCUGCCAGGUGUUCUGCCGCCCUGCCCAGCUGGCUCUAAGUUGCUCUCCUCCAGGCAGCCCGCCUGGAUGCAUCCAUCCACUCCAGGCAGGCACUACUCAGGCCUUCCCUCCUCUGUGGCGUGGCAAGCUUCCUGGAGUACCCACUUCACCCCCUGAGGUUGGGGGUCCCUUGCAGAGGCUCCUGACUGUGCCCUUGGGAAUAGGCGAGCUCACUGUCCAUAUGCCGGGAUGGCCCCUUCAGCCUGACUCUUCACACUCUGCCAGCCUCCAGGCCAGGCUCUUCAGAGCUAUCGCUGCGGCAUGUUAGGCCUUCCACCUUGACCCUUUCUAGGGCCUGUGAGGCAGCCUGCGACACCUGCCUACAGCCACCUAUCUUUUCUCAGUUCGGAUUCUGCCCACCCUGUUAAGGCUGAGCCAAAGUCACCCCCACCCCAUCCCUCCUCCCCCCUGCUCUGAGAACCAACCAACAGGAACAGACUCCAUGGUGCCGACCUAGGACCUCCCAGGAAGCACUGCUCCAUAGAGCCUUAGUUUACCGUGGGCAUCGAGUGGUUUUCUAGACACAGGAUGACUCGCCGGUCCACCAGCCCUUCCUGCCCCUGAUGCCCUCGAUCCCCCAGCCAUCAUAGCCACCUACCCCUCCAGGACAGUUGUUGGCCAACAGAACCCCCAGCUGCUAGGUCGCUAGCCUGCUUGCUCCAGCGGUUACAUCACCCAGGCCCCUGACCCAGACACACAUCCCCAGUCACUGCUGAUGGUGUUCCCAUGGCAUCUUCUCCCUUGCAUUUAGCACCUUCCUACCUGUAGACCUUUGUCUGGUCAGAACUGCCACUGCACUCAUCAUCUUCUUGGGCUCCACCCACCAGUCCAUACCCCUUGCUUCCAGACUGCCCUCUGCACCCUGAAACCUGGAGAGAGCCAUGGCAACUCAUCCUUGUCCCCCCACUCACAUCUGGCUGUACCCUGGGGUCAGAACUCCUGGACAGGGAGGGCCCUGGUGGUUACUUGGGUAUUGCCAUCAUCUUCAGCCAGUGUCCCACGGACUAACCGAAUCUCUCCCAGGGCCUCAGUUUCCUAUAAAGCAGAAUGGCCUUUCCAUAUACAGGGAGCACUGCUGUGGCUGGUACCUGCGCUGGAUACAAGACCUGACACAACGGGAUGGCGUGGGAGGGAGUGGAGCUGCAAGGCCACUGGGAGACUAAGCUUGGGUUGUAGGCUCCUGUGCUCCCAAGGGGCAGGGAUAUGGCUGGAUAGGUGUAGCAGCUGGGUCAGGGCUUUCUGGUACCCUGACAUAGCCUCUUCUUUCUUUUCAGGGGAGAGUGAGGUUUAUUUCAGUAUACAGGUGACAGGCCAUCAAACUGUGAAGGGGAACCAUGGAGAUAGCCCCUUAACAUAUGCGCAGGGGAAGGGGGCAGAGGAACUGAAAACAGCCAGAGCCCCAGCAUCCCCAGGAGCGAUGAUGGCGGUGGCUUCUUUUUGGUCUCUCUGGCCACUCACAGGAGCCCAACGAUGGAGCUGGGCUGUCACAACGAGGUAUUGUGAGCCAGGAGACUUCUGAGGCCAUCUGUCCUGGGAAGCCGGACGUAGACAUGGGACACAAGUCCUGGGACAGACAAAGACACACCAAGGAGUGGAGGGGGCGUACAAGGGGAGACAACAGGUGUGUUACCUGUCCCAGAGCGAGGGUAAGGACCUGGCCAGACGGCCCGGCAGGACUCGGGGCUGCCCGAGGCACAAGGGCACCCAGGGGCUGUGCAGCCUGUGGGCGAAGAGGACGGAGCUGCUCAGAACAUGUGGGGUGCCGCCCCAGGGCUGAGGCCAAGAGACAAGAGGGCAGGGUUGUUCAGGGGCAGCUGUGCCUCUGAUGGCCCCACUGGUGGCUCUGAGCUCAUUUGGUGACACUAAGUCCCCUUGGGGUAGGGUUUCUUGGUCACUAGCUGGGUUAAUUUGGGGUUUCUCUUCCUACCCACAGACCUGCAUCCUGUAUCAUAGACCCAGGUAUGUUGUGGGGAGAACGUCUCCCCUUCUGUGUGUUCUAGAUCUGUCAAUCGCCUGUCCUGCGCUCGGUCUGGAUUUCUGGCAGACUCUCUUCCUGAUGUGCAUAACUUCCUGGUGAAAGGGGCAGGCAGCUCCUCUCUGCAGGGAGGCCACGUUGGCUGGUAUAGAGAGAGCUACGUGACUAUCCUUCAGGCUUCGGGGUCUGCAGAUGACAGGUGCUGGACAGCGGGUGGGUAUAGUAAAGAACACAGGUCAGGCUCAGUCCUGAUCUGGCUCUGCCCUGCUGGAGGAUAGUGCCACACACGUGUGCCUGUCACAAGGCCAUGGCCCACCUGGAACCUUCUUGGUCAGGCCUGACACACGGACUUGAGGGGGCACAUGGCAGGCAUGCUAAGGGCUGAGUUAUCGUCAAGCAGCCACCGAAGUGGGUCACUUCCAUCCACAGAAGCUCCUGGCUGGCCCAGAAACCAGGUUUUCAAAAAGGGCACAGGACAAGGCAGAUGUGCCAAGAGCUGUGAACUCCCUUUUAAAAAACUCACUGCACAGACCAUCACAGAAGAAAAGAAAUGUUCAUUUGUUACGCCUGGCUAUUGGAAUGCUGGGUAAUUGAAAAAAAAAGUAUACUUUUCUGGGUUUGUCAUCUUUUCUAUAGAGGAAAAACUUUUCUUAGGAUCAAAUUUUGUCACUGGAUAAAAAGUUCCCACAGGCAUCGAGCGAUGAGCCGACAGAUGCAGGGGUCGGGGGCUGGGGGUUCUCAGCCCUUCACAAGGUAGCCACUCCCAAGGCUGCAGAGGCUGAAGCAGGCUGGGCUGUCUCCCUUCCUGGCUUGGCAAAGACUAACAACAGUGGCCAGAAUGCCCUCCUUGGAGCCCUUGCCAGCAGGUUUCCUGUCAACAGCCCCUCUGCAGGGCCCUCAGAAGCUUGGGUAUCUCAGCACUAGAUGACAUUUGGGACCUAAGGGGAAACUGAGAUCCACCGAAUGUCUGCUUUUGUUCUGAACCAGGCAGCACAGGGAAACUGUCAGUGUAGCAUGUGAUACAGGAAACAUUCUCCCGGACCCGAGGAAAGGCUCCAGGGAUAUUAUGCCACAGUCCCAAGAUCACCAGGUAAGUCUCAGGACUGAGAUAUGGACCAGUCUAUUCCUCUCUCGUACACCAUUCAGGACAUGAUAGGAGGAAGCGAGCUGGCUGUGGGUUGUACUCACUUCUAGCAGAGCCAGAGACUGCCCUGGCUUGGUCAUCAAGGCUGCCUGCCCUGAGACCAAGCCGCCAGGAUGUCGUAUAAGAGCGGGUGAUGCCUGGUGACGACUGGGUGCCUCUCAGGAAGAGACAGGGUGGGGCUCUGACGUGUGCUGCUUCCCAGCAUGCAAGGAGCCCACUUCCUCCCUCCUAGGCAUGGAAACAAUCCUUUCUCUUAGGGACGGAAUCUGUUGGCAUCUGUCUGUCUUCCUUUCUGAGGGACCCUGGGGACCAGCAAGGGUCCUGAGGGUAGAAAAGCUCAGGGCACUGAAGAAACAGCAGAUGUAGACCAGAUGUAGACCAGAGCAGGGACUGUCACUACUCAUCUUAGAUGCAGACAGCCACAGCCACCUGUGGAGCCCCAGGCUGCCUGUGCUCUCUCCAGUGUGCCCAGGCAAGAAAGGUUCCAGCCCCAUCUGAGGACUCUACACCAUAGCUGAAGGAUCUUGAGCUAGCUGGGGCCAGUCCUGAACCUUUUGUCCUCCUUUCCACUGAGUUCCUUUCUAAGAUUCACCAGCCACUGUCCUCGCUCCCGACAGACAUGCCACUGCACCCCCGCCUACCCCAGGAUGUCUAGCCUCCCUCCUCUUUCUUGGGAUGCUUGUCUUAUGCCUCUCCUGACUCUGGGGAUUUUCUCUCACCACGCUGGGCCACCUAUCCUUCAGGGGACUCGUGCCCAUGUUUGCCUGGUGACUGCCUUCUGGUCCACACAGUGAUGGGCUGGGUCUGGGCUUUUGGUCACUCCUGAGCCUCAAGCUAGCUCCGGGAUCAGCAGCAGGCCAGGGUGGCUCUGGCCCUGCUCUGUGAGGCUCUGCACAAAGCCUGUGUGCAGCCUCCCUUCUCUCUAGCAUGGCCCAAGCAGUCAUGCUCCAACAACACCAAAUUGCUUGUCAUUCUUCACAUGCUGCAAGCGCUUUCUCAUCUUGGUGACUUUGUUCUCAUGUCCCCUCUGCCAAGAUCUUGCUCUGCCUGCCCCAGGUUAACUCUUCCCCACUUGAAGGUCUUCCAGCUGGUCAACUCUCCCUGGAGAAGCCAAAAACUGCUUCCCGGGAUGGCCACGUUGCCAGCCUAGUUACCUUUGAAUGCAAGAGUCUUCUACGCCAUCUGGGCCUCCUAACUCUACACUCUUCUGGCAAUUGGAUGGCUAAGCAGACCACACCCUGCCUUGACCACUGCAUCCAGCCAGAUUCCCACCUCUCAGGCCACCACUGUCUCAGUCUGUGUUGGCCUUGGGGUAUGCUUUCAGGAAGGGCCUCACCUACAUGCCGCCUCCUCUGAUAGCCUAUACUCAGUCUUAUUACUAUGUGGAUAGUUGCCGUGGUCUGCCUGAUCACCUGCCCACUAAGCCCUAUGGACUAUCUCAGGUAUCAGCCCCUAAUCAGACAGUGCAGGAGCAGGGUCAGGCAUGACCCCAGGGCUGGGUUCAUGUUGUUAAGUCGUCUUAAUGCUGGAGAUGACCUAACCUGUCCUCUCCUGAGCCUCAAGCUAGCUCCCUGGGGAACCUGUGCCCAGACGGUAGAAACAUUGCUAAACCUCGAAGGACUGCCCCAGCCUCCCUGUGGCAGCUCUGGGACACCACAACCUCACGGGAUAACCAUAGCAACCUACCCUUAGCUCCUCAGGGUCCCUGACCUGAAUGUCUUUACCGACAUUUCUGCCUAUCUUCUGAGUCUGUUGAGCCAGUGGUCACCACUAGAUGGCUCUACCCUUCGUACCUGUGGCUGCCCCUCCCUCAAGAACUGGUGAGUCACUGACAAUGGAUGACUGGACACUCCAGCCUGCACAGGAGCCUCACCCAUCCUGUCCACCAUCUCCCCUUAGCUCCCUUUCCCACCCCACCCUACCCACUUUCCAGCUGAGGAAACACGUAUGGAGUGGGUAAGGUCAGGCCUGUACUAGGUCACAGGACUUGGAUGGCUCAGCUCUGUGAUGUCCUGUUCCCAACCUCUGGUCCCAGUGUAGAGGCUAGAUGCUAAUAAGUCUCACCACUGUGCUGCCAUCGCGGUUACUGAGGUGUCACAAAACCAACAACCCCCGUGGAAAGGUCAUGCGCACGUGCGAGUCUGUGUUGGCAUGUGUUAGGGAUGGGACUGACCAUCACUUGUGGUUCUGUGGCCAUAGCAAGGGGUUGUCUGGAAGGGGGUUGCCCCUAGGGGUCACAAGUCUCCCUGGCUCUAUCUGCCCCAGCUCUAUCUCCAGCAUCCAUGGCUAUGCAGUUCAGGCUGUCAUGGAUCCUCUGUCAGAUCAGGAGCUAUGGCAGAAAAGAGGCUCCUCACCUCAUCCUAUCAGGCAGCUGUAGACCUACCCAGCCACCCUCCCCUGCCAAGAGAGCCAUGUGCCUGGAGCUGUGUCCUAGAGAGCCCUUGGGGUUGGUAGAGCUGGAUGCCCAGGGCAGCUAUAAAACCACAGGGCUGGGUAUAGCCCCGCCCCCGGCAGGGCCGUCCCCUUCUCUGUUUCUAAACUCCUCCCCCAGGCUUUCUUGAUGCCCCCCCCUCUCACCCCCACCCCAAGGAAAGGCAGUUCCCACCUGGACUCAGCCCCUAAAGAUGGACUGACCUGGAGUGCCACCAUCAUUCUCGUGUCUCUAUACUACCCCCAGCACCUCUUCCCUCUCCCACUCACCUACAGCAUGGAGCAUGGGAAGCCGUCCAAGGGAACCUCCACAGAUGCCACCCCAUGUGCCACCUACCCACAUCUGCCUGACACCUGUGCUAUGUGCCUGGGAUAACCCUCUGGGCCCUGCCUGCUUCCUGCCAGUUCCAUCACAGGCUUCCUUACUGAAUCAGUGAGCCUCUCCUUCUAGAUUGUUCUCUCCAGCAGUCCUGUGGGUGGCUGCUUUUCACACUUCAAUAACCACCUUCCCUGAACUUCAGGCACUGUCCGUUCUGCUGCCGGAAAUGUAUUCUGUCCCUGCUGUCUGUUUCCAUAGCCCUGCCAGGCUUGCGGCACUGAAUAACGCCUGUCGCUCGCUUCUUGUCCCUUACCUGGCAUCUGGCUGGCUGGCUACCCUUUCCCAGCAUCCUUUGAGGUUGCUCCUCAUGCCUGCUUCCUAUCAGCCACUCUCCUCCCCUGGGUGCACACGCUCACAAUAAUCCCCAGUAGCAAAUAUCACGAGCUGCCAUGGUCCCCGGUGUUUCUAAUUCCAGUCGUCCCCAUCCUUCUGUCUCACCUGUCUGUAGGGCACAUGAGAAUCUCUUCACAGACAACCUCUCCCAUGUCUGAAGAUUCCUGGACAUUCCCCAUCCCUCCCAUUGACCCUGUCUACAGGAUGGGCCCCUUCCUGUGCUCCACAACCCAGCCCCCUAUCCCACAACCCUCCCCCUCCCCCCAAGCCUCUGGACCUAGUCUUGAAGCAAUCACGCUGGGUUGGGGAGGCCACCAAGCUGUGCUUGGGUUGGGGGUCAAAGGUAGGAGGGAGUUCCAUCCUGGGAUAUAUGGAGCUGGGGUCUGGAUCAACCAGGGGAAGGCACAGCUCCAGGGGUGCACCGCAUUGGAGAGCUGGCAGCACUGUGUUUGGGGGCAUCAUAAUGGGGGGUACAGUAGAAACAGGAGCCUGGUGGAGGCUAAGCAGAGGGGCUACAUGGGCCCCAGGAGCGUCUACAGUACUCAGCUUUAUUGGGGCUCCUGUCUUUCCUGCUUGGCACUCUCAUCCCCACCCCACUCCCAGACUGUCUCCCAGGAGAAGACAGUGGACAGACGACCAGUCACCUGUCCCCUGGGCGCCACACCCCACAGGACCCAGGUCAGGAGGCUGUACUCACCUGGGCACCAAGCUGGCUUGAGGACAAACCUUCAGCACCCCACCCCACCCCCUGUUAUCAACGACCGUGGGGCUUCACUAUUGGGGAGCUGUAGGAGGCCUGCAUUCUCCGCUCUGUAGUCAUAAAGCCAUCAAGGUCUGGGAUGGUCAGGGACAUAGGCUGCUGGGCAAGGUGGACAGUCCCUGCCCGGAGCCCUCCAGACACCCAGGUUCCAUGGUGCCCCUUCCUCCUCACCCCCACAGGUCUGCUCCUCCAUACAUGUGCACGAAUGUUCUCACAGGCUGUCUCCAGAGCUGUGGUGCUGACAGCAUAUGUCUGGAAGCCAGCGUCUGGAAGGGGCACCCCAUGAGGAAGGGAGCUGUCUUUGGGGUGCCUCAGUUUCCCUAUCUAAAACAAAAGCCCAUGGGUCAUUUGUGAUCACUAUGAUGGCCCUCCAGAGGCUCUCUAUGCCCACUCCCUGAGCCUCCCUCCAUCUCUGCUCCAGGGUCAUGAGGCCUCCUGCCACCUGGUGCCCUGACUAGGGAUGUGGGUUACCUGGACCACUGCAGGGCGUGUAUGAAGCAGAUGGCCCCUGCGCAGCUCGGAAGUUCCCAUUCCUGUGUCUGUUUUUCCUUUUCUUUGUAAAGUUUUUAGAUUUAU